rnacentral:rRNA from 1 species
UACGAAGGGGGCGAGCGUUGUUCGGAUUUACUGGGCGUAAAGCGUGCGCAGGCGGUUUUGUAAGUCUGACGUGAAAUCCCCGGGCUUAACCUGGGAAUUGCGUUGGAGACUGCAAGGCUAGAAUCUGGCAGAGGGGGGUAGAAUUCCACGUGUAGCAGUGAAAUGCGUAGAGAUGUGGAGGAACACCGAUGGCGAAGGCAGCCCCCUGGGUCAAGAUUGACGCUCAUGCACGAAAGCGUGGGGAGCAAACAGG